rnacentral:rRNA from 1 species
AUUGAACGCUGGCGGCAGGCCUAAAAGAGGCAAGUAGAGCGGAGCGGCGGACGGGUGAGUAAUGCCUAGGAAUCUGAUUGGGAGUGGGGGAUAACGUCCGGAAAUGGGCGCUAAUACCGCAUAAUAUAAGAUGAGCCUAGGUCGGAUUAGCUAGUUGGGGGGGUGAAGGCCUACCAAGGCGACGAUCCGUAACUGGUCUGCGAGGAUGAUCAGUCACCCGAGAACUAGAACACUUUCCCGACUCCUACGGGAGGCAGCAGUGGGGAAUAUUGGACACUGGUCGCUCACCUAUUCCAACCAUGCCGCGUGUUUACCGCAGGUCUUCAGGUUGUAACACACUUUAAGUUGGGAGGCUUUACCAACAGAAUAAGCACCGGCUAACUUCGUGCCUGCAGCCGCGGUAAUUC